rnacentral:rRNA from 1 species
ACGCUCGACACCUACGGGGGCAGCAGUGGGGAAUAUUGCACAAUGGAGGAAACUCUGAUGCAGCGACGCCGCGUGGAGGAAGAAGGUCUUCGGAUUGUAAACUCCUGUUGUUGAGGACGAUAAUGACGGUACUCAACAAGGAAGUGACGGCUAACUACGUGCCCGCAGCCGCGGUAAGUCUGAGCGGGCGUGGCAAGGACG